rnacentral:lncRNA from 1 species
UUUACACUGAGUUAUCUCAUAAGCCUUUCAAAUAGUUCAAGACUUUUUGUUUCUCUUUCUAUAGUCUGGGUGCUACUUCCUAUUCUUCAAGGGCAUGAAGUAUUCAUCCUGUUUUAAUUUUAAACGUUACCUUAAUUAUCACACUUUGUAUUUUAUAAUUUAGAAUCAUUUUAGUAGUGGGUUAUCCAGCAAUAAAAGUUCAAUAAGUGGCUGAAAACAUGCCAUAAAUGAGACUGUUCUGCUUAUAGGCCUGCUCAGAGAGUGAGUCUACUUGGUAACACUUACGUAUUUACUCCUUAAUCACUGUUCAGCUACUUAAUGGCAAACAGCUGUACACAUAUUGCUGCCUUUAAUCCACAUUUAGGAUACCAUUUGGAUUUUCAUAAACCCAUAUAUAUUGAAAUGUUUGUCUUCCAUUAGGUACAAAUUUUAAGUACAAAUUCUCCCACAUUAAAAUUCUUCAGGAAUCACAAGCGCUUGCCGGGCUAAGUGAAUUGCAGCCCUGUUUUGAAUGGUAAGUCCUGCUCUAAUCUUCACAAUUUGUCUUCAAUUUAGUAUUGCAGCGUCUUCAACAGUAUUACCUAGAACAUACUUAAGGCAUAAAGUGUGACAGCCCCUAACAUUGCUAAUUGUGUAUCUAACAGUGGAUAAGAUUAAUCUCUCAAAGUUAGAAUUCCCUUGUGCAUGAUUUGGCAAACCUGGUGAAUUACUCGGAAAGGAAGCAAGUUCACCUGUCUGGGGCUUGAAAGCCGCAGGCCCCACGCCCCUCCUCCCUCCCCACCCCGCCCUCCCCAGGCCAGUCUGGAACGGCGCGUCGGAGCGGGGCUGGGCGGGGCCUCCCGGCCCACUCGCAUGCUGUCACUUCCAGGUUCGGCGAGCACUUCCGGGUCGUCGGCACUGCUCUGCGGCUCCUGCGGCGGCCGAAGAGGUGGUCGGGAAGUGGGUGCUUCCUGCUGGACUGCUGGCUGCUCCGCUUCAGUCCGCUCCGCGGCGGGAAGCGCCUUCCCCACAGGUACUUGGUGAGCCGGGCCCACGCUCCCUGCGGUCCCGAGAGGUGGGGCUGCGGUUGGUUGGGUCUCGGAGGGCUGCGCGGAGGGCAGGGGCCCAAGGUGGGCCCGUUACCGAGUUCGCUGCCGGGAGGCCCCCGCGGCCGGUACCCGCGAAUGAAAAGUGCGGGAGGCGGUGGCGUCCUCUGCCGGGAGGUUUGUGGUCGUCCGGGCGCCAGCCGAGCGGUCCUGGGGAAGGUCCUCAGCCCAAAGCGGGAUUUUUAGCCAGGACAUCAAUGCAAGCCUGA